AGUUGUUGGUUUACUUUGUUUAGAAUCUCUUAUAAUUUAGGACAAAUUUUGAAUGCUUGGGUACCUUAAUUAUAUUGCAUGAAGGAAGUAGUAUGUGUAGCAUGCUAUACAAUCUUUCGUGUGAGUUCAAGAGGCAUAUGUGAUUUUAAUUGUUUAAUCAAUUGAUCUCAAACCCUGAAUCCUAAAACCCUAAAACCUACUGCAUUAGUGUAAUCUUUAUGCUCCGAGUAACAAUUUGGUUUCAUAAGCCUGUGAGCAAACCCUAUCAUCACACUGUAAUAUUUAGUCCAUCACUACUACUGCAUAAUCGGUGAUCACUGCUGGUUGCUGGUAGUGGACAGAGGAAGUGAUGGUCCGGUUGCUCAAUGGCCAUAAUAAUCUUGAGCAAACCAUAUUGGUGGUUUUCAUAAAAAAAGAAAAGAAAAAAGGCAUUGGAGAAUCAAUGGACCAAUUUCAUAUAAGAUAAUCAAAGCUAAUAUGCAUAUUUGUGAUUUGUCAUAAUCUUGAUCUCAGGAAUUUGUUCCUCCACCAUGCAUGAAAGCCACUAGAUUUGAGCCACUACCGUUAGAAUCAACAUGUUCUAUAUGGUUCCCAUUCAUAAAUAUAUGAAUAUGUGAUGCAGAACAUGACUCAAGGCAUGUUAGGGCUAUAUAUGACGAGGGAUAUGGGAUUAGAUUAUCAGGCAUAUAGAGCAGGGCAUGAGCGGCAUGAGGAUUAGAAUUUGUUCAAUGGUUUAUUAUGGUCAUUUCUAAAAGCAUUGGUUUUUUUGGCUUCAAUUGCUCUUGUGCAUGUAUGCAAUUCCUC
rnacentral:lncRNA from 1 species